CUCGGAACGCAAACUGCAACUCCCCGGAGCCUCCACGCUCCUCUUGAGGGCGGUGCGGUGCUCGCGGCUCAAACCGAGGGCGGAGCCGAGAACCGAAAGAGGAAAGCCAGAAUACGUAGCUUUUGUGAUUUUUGGACUACUGUUCCAAAAGGGGAGCAGGCUCGGAUUACCCUCGGUAGCACCGAUCACUCACAGAGUCACCAUUACGGGCCUGAGGAGUCCUGGCCCUGCGGAAUUAUGCUUCUCCAUUCCGCAGGCCAGCCGCGGUAAUCUGGCCCCAUUUCCCCCCGCGAGCCCUUCUGAAGAGCCGAGGCCCUUUCCCCGCCCCCUGCGCGCUUGCGCACUCGUGCCGAGAUAGACACUCUAGAAGCCCCACACGGCAGACUUGAGGGCUGGGCGGUCCUCAGAGUCAGUGGCGGCCGGAGUGCGCAGAUUGCUUUUCUGAAGGACUAGAUUCCGCAGACCCGACCCGGGGCCUGGCUGUAAGAGGGAAGUCGGAGGUGGAGCCCCAGAAUAAAGGUACCCUGCAGAGCGCUGGAACCAGAUUCAGGGCUGGCCUGUGAGGACGGAACGACCCCUUGGACCGAAGAAGACGCAGUGGGCCGUCCCAGGCGCCCUGCCAGUCUCCAGAGAAGGCCUUUGAAGUGAAACGAAUCGCUGCCGCGCCUCUAAAAGCCAGGUUCUGUGUGAGUUUGUGCUGAUUCUUUGUUUCCGUGAAAUGAUUUGAUUUUAUGGACACUGGGCUUUUUAAAUUUUCUUCCCUUGUUAUGUGCUGCUUAAGAAUGAUCUAUUCAUUGAUUUGUGCUUUAAGAUUUCCCUACCUAGUUAAUGGCAGAGGACCUAAUUAAUAGAUAACACUUCUUAGUGCCCGUCUAAUACAGUUCUACGUUUAGUUUAACCAUAUGCUAUAUAUUCUGAUUAUGGAAAUGCCCCUUUUGGAAGUGAAAGUUCAUGCUUUGUUUUCGACUGUGAUUUGUUAAGGAGUAGUUCAGGGUUUGUUUAGAUAUCUUCAAUGAUUGAUUCCAGAGUAGGGGUGGGAAUUUUUUUCCAAGAGACUCCGCCAUUGGAGAUUUUUGGUAACUCUUGCCAGAUGUGGUAGAGAUUUGGUAGCAUGAGUUUAUUUUGCUUAUUUUUGACAAAUACAAAAUGGUAUAUGUUUAACGCAUAAAUAUAUACAUGUUUCAGUAUAUGUAUACAUUGUGGAAUGGAAUGAUUACCACCGUCAGACUAACAUCCAUCACCUCCCAUAGUUACUUUUGUGUAAAUAACUAUGGUGAGUGGUGAGAGAAUACUUAAGAUUACUCUUGUGGCAAAUUUCAAACGUGUGUGGUGAGAAUACUUAAGAUCUACUCUUGUGGCAAAUUUCAAGUCUAUAAUACAUUAUCAUUAUUUAUAGUAACCAUGUUGUACAUUAGGUCUUCAGAGUUUACUUAUGACUGAGAGUUUGUAGCAUAAGUUUAUUUAGGGCAUGUUAUUGGAUAGACUGAGGUGUAUAAGGUAUUUAAGAAUUUUGAAGCUAGGGGUGCGCCUGGGUGGCUCAGUCGGUUAAGCAUGGGACUUCCGCUCAGGUCAUGAUCUCGCGGUCAGAGAGUUCCAGCCCAGUGGUGGGCUCUGUGCUGACACCUCAAGAGUCUAGAGCCUGCUUUGGAUUCUUUGUCUCUCUCUCUGCCCCUCCCCUGCUGGCUCUCUGCCUCUCUCAAAAUAAAUAAACAUUAAAAAUAUAUAAAAAAUAAAAGGAUUUUGAACCUAGGUUGAGAGAAUUUGAAUCUUGCCCACCACUUAAAUCUGAGGGAGUUUGAGCAAUAUUUCUGUGUCUCAGUUUCUUCAUCCAUUAAAUCAGAAUUAUAAUAGUAUUUAUGUCGCAGAGUGGUUUUGAAGAUUACCUGAAUUAGUACCUGUAAAGCUCUUAGAGGAGUACCCCGCACAUUAGAAGACUGCUUAACUAAUAUUACCUAUUGGUAUUAAAUGAUGAUUGUUAGUCAUUCUCUAUCAGUUUUCUGUAUUCCCAAGAGUAAUGAAAAUGUGAGCUUAAUUAGGAUGGAUGCUUGCUAGCAGGAAAAUGAAUCACAUACUCAAAUGGACCAAAAGAGGAGUUCUUAACAUGAAGUCUUUGGACUGUGUUUAUGGGUUUUCAGGCCAACAAAAAUCUAAGAUUAUGUACAGGAUUGUUGUAUAUACUUGUUGGUAAUUUGGUGGGGAGGAAGUCUGUCAUUUCAUGAUACUAAUCAAAGUUGUAUAAGACCCAACAAGGUUGAUUCUUACUGGUGUAGAAUCGAAGUUUGGGAUAACUGGGAAUGACUUUUGUUAUAAUCUUUUAUAAAAGUAGCAUCCAGCAAUAUGGAAAUGGUUAAGUAACUCACACUCCAUCCAUGUGAUGCGAUGUUAUACGAUACUAAAAAUUCUAUUUAUUAGUAAUUUAGUCAUUAGAAAAAUAUAUAUGUAUAUAAUGUAACAUUAAGAAGUAUUUAUUCUGAAUAAAAAUCUUUAAGAAAUUAAGUUAUAGAUGUAUCUUGAACACUAAGAUAACAAUUUAUAAGAUACAUUACAAGGGUUUAAUAACUAGUGUAUUAACUGGAGCCCAGUAGAGUUAAGCUCAAAUAUUUGAGCAGAUGCUAUGAAAUAAGCAUUUUUUCCCCUGUCUUUAGUUUGGAAAAGCAUUGUGAUCCUUCACAGAAGGUUCUCAGGUGUUGACGAAAUACAAUAUUCAAGAAUUGGUAGCGUGGAGGCUCAUGGUUCAUGGGUUCUAGCCCCUCAUUGGGCUCUGGACUGACAGUGUAGAGCCUGCUUGGGAUUCUCUCUCUCUCUCAUUUCCCUGUUUUUACCACUUACAUAGGCCAAUUUAAUCACAAAAUUUUAAAAACAUUUUAUUUUUCUAAGUAAUCUCUAUAUCUAGUGUAGGGUUGGAACCCACAGCCCCGAGAUCAAGAGUCACUCACUCUGUGGACUGAGCCAGCCAGACACCCCUAAUCACAGUUUUCUUAAUGACUAUAAGGUAUCCCAUUCUCCCAAAUCAUUAAAAAAUUAUUUUUAGUGAGAAUAGCUUUUUAUAAAUUUUUAUUUAUUUGUUUUUAGCUUUGAAAAAUACUUUGUGUGUGUGUGAGAGAGAGAGAAAGAGAGAGAGAGAGAGCGCAUGAGUAGGGGAGGGGCAGAGAGAGGGAGGAGGAGAAAGGAGGCUUUGUGCUGUCAAUGCAGAACCCCAAACAAACCAUGAGAUCAUGACCUGAGCCAAAAUCAAGAGUCAGACACUUAACCCACUGAGCCACCCAGGCACUCCAAUGAGAAUAGCUUUUUAAAACGAUAUUUCUGAUGGAAUUAAUGCAGGCUUGUGAAAUAAAAUUAUCCAUGGUCCCAACAUCCAGAAAUAAUCACUAUUAAUAUUUAGAGCAUAUUUUCCCAAAAUAUUUCUACAAGCAUGUAUUUUUCUGUACGAUUUUAUUUCUGAAUAAUGGUAUAACCCUAAUUAAAAAUUUAAAAGAAAUCAAGACCUCUAGUUCUUAGUUUAAUUUUUUAAAGUUUAUUUAUUUAUUUUGAGAGAGACAGACACAGUGCUAGUGAGGGAGGGGCAGAGAGAGAGGGAGAGGGAGAAUCCCAAGCAGGCUCCCUGCUGUCAGCACAGAGCCCUGUUGUGGAACUUGGUCUCACAAACCGUGAGAUCAUGACCUGAACCAAAACUAAGAGUUGGGCCCUUAACCGACUGAGCCACCCAGGAGUCCCCCUCUAGUUCUUAGUUUAAAAGAGACAUUCAGUGUCCUCAUGGAUUUUUGAAUCAUGGAUCUAUGGGGAAAGGUAAAAUCCCAGUAGUCCCCUUCUUGUUUGAGAAAUCUUCCAAGCAAUUACAAUUCUUAAGAUAGAAAUGGAAAUUAAAUUGAGAGACUUAAUUAAAAUUAAUUUUUAAAUGUCAGAAUUGAAAUAUAGAGAUUUUUUCCCCCCAUCUAUUGAUAUCUGUUUCAUAUUGAUGAUUUAAAAUAAUCAUAUUGGGGCGCUUGGGUUACUCAGUUGGUUAAGCGUCCGACUUUGGCUCAAGUCAUGAUCUCAUGGUUCGCGAGUUUGAACCAUGUCAGGCCCUGUGCUAACAGCUCAGAGCCUGGAGCCUGCUUUGAAUUCUAUGUCUCCCUCUCUCUCUGCCCCUCCCCACCUGGUGCUCUGUCUCUCAAAAAUAAAUAAAUGUUAAAAAAUAAUAAAAAUUAAAUAAAUAAAUAAAAUAACUAAUCAUAUUAUAUAUUGUUUUGUAAACUGAUUUUUUUUCUUUCAGUGUAUCUUGAAAAUACUUUCUAUUCCUUAACUGUUUUCUAAAACUUAGCAUUUAAUGAUUACUUUAGUAUUCCAUUUUAUGAAUGUUUUAUAAAUUAUUUAAGAAAUCAGUUAUUGGGUAGUAAUGUUCAAACUGCCCGAGCAAUUCUUUCAACAGGCUUUCUAUGUGCUAUUACUUACCCAACUUUUCACUUCAUGGUCAUUUCAGAGACAGGAACACUUUUUACCAAGUGGGAUAUAGGUGACACUCUGUGAAUUGUUUGGCUGAAUUUCUGAAGGAUUUAGUAUGAAGUAGACCAUAAAAUUUAAUUUUACCUGCCAUUUCUUUCUUGGCCUUUGUCCCCCCCAUCACUAUGGAGAGGAAGGUGAUGUUAGGGCUCCAGGAAACUGAGUCUAUAGGUUUCUGGAGAUUGGGUUAUUGAUAAAAUUGCCCUUUUUUUUUUUUUUUUUGUCAUUUACUAAGACAUACGUAAACUGAUGGAGACUCAUGUCCUGCAUGACUGUGAUCUCUAUCAGUUAACCAUUUGUUUUCUUCCCUUUCCUUUGUUCUUGGGCAGC